GAACUGGAGUUUUUUAAAUAAAGAAAUUAGAAGAUUCUGGAUCUCUGGGUUUUUCCUAAACAAAAAACAUGGAAGCCUCUUUUCAUCUCUAAUAAUUGGAUUGUAUUUGACUUUUAAGCCCACUUCUGUUGUUGAAAAGGUCCAGUUAUUCUUUGCGUCAGUUAAGGAAGUGUAUCGCUAUUCGACGCCCGCAUACGUUAAUAUCGCCCGCCUUUUUUAUAUGAAAAGUCGAUUUUACCCUUAUUAAAUUAUAUCCCAUAAUAAAAAUAAUAAUUGAAAAUUUAAAAAUAAACAAUAAUUAUUUAUUUUACAAUAUGAUAAUACUCCAUAAUCUGUGUCACACUGUUUCACAACCGAUGAACAUUUACGAUCUCAAAUGAUAUUGAUAACAAUAAUAAUAACAAGAUUCUUGCAAAAAAAAAGGAAAAAAAAGAGAACUACCGCGCACAGAAUUGGCGCCGGAGACAUGGCUGCCGCGCACAACAAUUGCGCCGGCAACACGACGGUCGCGCACAAGAUCUACGCGGUGGCCCUUUCGUCGGCGCAAUGGUAGUGCGAAGAAUCCAUGCUUUUGGCGCAAUUGCAGUGCGCGGUGGGUUUUAUUUGAAAACACAAACAUCAUCGACACCAGGCCAUCAACAAUGGUUGUCUGGUUUAGAGUUUCUUCGCGAAUAGUCAACGAUUUCGUCAAAUCUCUUCCAAUUCAAGGUGAUUACUCUUCCUCGUUUUUGUCAGUGUUUAAGAUUCAUGGUGAUGAAUUGAUGAUGAUGCUGCUUAGUCUUUUGAUGAAGAAGAUGCUGCUUAAUCUUUUGGUGAUGAUGAUGAUGAUGCUUAAUUUGUUUAUUAAUUUUGAAUUUGAUGGAGAUGCUGCUGCUAUUUUGUUAAUCAAUUUGAUGAUGAUUUUUAUCAAUUUUGAACUUGAUGAUGACGGCGAUUGACGAUGAUGAUUUGUUUUUCAAUUUUGCUUCCCUUUAUUGAUUAUGAUUUAUGAGUGGCUAGAUUUUUAUUAUUAUUAUUAGUAUUAUUGUUAUUUUUUAAAAAUUA